GGAGGGACUCUGGCUGCUCGGAGGCCUGGCCCGGGGCCCCGCUCCGUGGUGGGGGUUUUAAGGGCUGGUCCAAGUCGGUGUAAGGCUGGCAGGGUGAGGGUCUGUUCUUGUGUGUUUGUAUAGGGUGAGAGCACUAGUUUGUGGUAUAAUGGCAUUUGUGUGGAUUGUGGAAUAGAAUUGUGUGUCUCAGCUAGGACUUUAGUCAAUUUGUGUCAGUUGUAAUUGUUUGAAUAAGUUAAAGGCUGGAGAGGCUGGGGCUACUUAUGUAGAUUUGGUCAAGAUGUCUAGCUGUCCUUGUGCUUCUAGAUUGUUUUGAGUUAGGGCCAGCACGUGCAUUUGUGAGGCUGCAGAGUGCCUAUGACGGUGUGGAAAUGCAGUUUAUUGAAUUUGUGUGCCACGGUCUGGUUGCACUGUGUAUCUGUGAAUUCGCCUGGAGUUGUGCAUCUCAGAAGAUGGGGGUGGCCUCGGUGUGUGUGGCUUGCGGGGACGUUUCUCGGUGUUCGGAUGGGGGUCCCUGUGAUGGAUGUCCAUGCCCAGCCCUAGGGCAACAUCUGUGUGUCUUGGGAUCGAGGCGUGUGUGUCUAGUGAGGAGGCUUGGGCUGGGGUGUCGUUCCAGCAGCGCCCCACUAACUCCGGAGUUUGGCAAACAGCCGUUUCGUGUAACUGCGCAUUUUUCUAGACCAGUCUUUAUUAUUCCAGCAAUCAGCGCUGGAAUUACUGGGGCGCCGCCUAGAAGCAGCCGCGGGCGGGGCGGCAGAGGAUGUCGGCCUCCAGCGUCUGGGGAGCGCGCCCGAAAGCCGGGCUGCGUUGCGGGGCCGCUCGCGCCUCGCCCGCAGCUUCCGGCCCGCGCCCUCCGCUCGGCCGCCGAUUUUCUUGCCCCAGCCAGCCCCGUAGCCAGGGGAAAGUGGGAGUUUUGAGAACCCUCUGACCCCAGCCGUGACCCCUCUCCGGGAGGUGGCUUCUCCCGCAUGACCCGGUGCGCCAGAAAACUCUAGGCGGCGCCACGCUUGGAAGCGCAAGGUCCAUUCAUCAGCCGCGCCCCAGCGUCUAAUUGGCCUUUUGUUUAUUAGUGUCUGUUGCCCGGCUGGGGGUCUCCGGAGGGCCCCGGAGCUGUGAGUCGGGGUGCCAGAAGCGGGCGGCGGAUCGGCGCCCAGAGCUGGGGUCCGGGUAGGGCAGAGGCGCGUCGCACUCCUCUGAGGGGGCGCCAGAGCGCGCCAAAGAUCACGCCCACGUGCGGAGAUGCGCGCAUGGAGGCUGGACUCCGAGUGCCAGAGCCUGGUCCUCCCGGCUGCUAAGGCCCCAGGCUUCGCCCCUGCCCCCACCUCCACCUGCAGACCGAGCCCUCCCCAUCUCUCCACACCCUCAGGAUUUCAGACCCGCCUUCCUGCCUCUCCUAAGUUCCCAUCCCAGGCGCUGGCCUUGUGGCUGGGUUCCGCUCACGUCCCGCCGUUCCUCGUUCUUCGUGCUUCGAGUUCAUUCGUCGUUGCUCCGCCGCUUACCCCGGGGAGUAAGCUCCCCGUUUACUCUGGGUUUCCCUCCCUAAACACCAACCCGGCAGUAUGGAGCCAGCCUCCUGCUUCGCCGGGUGGUAUGAUUGAGAGAAUGUUUUUGGCAAGGCAGGGAGAGAGGGACGAGACAGAGCACUCAAAAUUCCACCUUCCUCACCAAGUCAAACCUCACCUUCCGAUCCCUAUCUCCCAUCCAGUGUUCAAUCUCCACAUCGAGCCUCGCCAUCCUCCUCCCUACCCCACACUUACUGCCCCUCCUCCCACUCCCGAGAGACAGUAGAGAAGUAAGGUCUCCAUUCCCAGCACAGGCACAAAGGCCAAGAUGCACCUGGGGGUCCCGAAGGUGCUUGGGGUGGGCAUGCGGUCUCAUUUGGAAAAUGACUUGAGGAUGAUCGGCCUCGCCUGGCGGUGGCCUGGCUGUCGGCAACGUCUGGAUGGCUGGGCCUCAGCCUGGCCCCAGACGUCCCCUGCUCCCAGCCAGCUCCAGGCCCUAUAUAUAGCACGGGUCUCCAUAGCCCUGGCUGGACCCUGACGUCAGAAAGAACUUGAUCUUGCCUGCUUCGCUCCUGCUUCUGAAACUGAUCCUUGAAAUGAGAGAACAGACUCUACACAAUUCCCAUGGCCUUGACAUAAGGUUGCAAUUGCCUUUUCCUUUUCCUUUUACUACUCUGGCCCAUGAGGUGAGAGGCUGGGGACACUGAGGCAGGAGACUAGGCGGGUUUUGGGGAGGGACCUCAGAGAGGAUGUGGUGCAGGCAUCAGGCCCUGUCCCUCUGGCCCCAUUUGCUUGGCCCUUGUUCCCGUUUCUCUCCAGCCCAGGAAGGAUGCCUAAGCAAUCGGCUCUGCACAGCUACCAAGCACAGGGCCAGCGCGGCUGCCCACUCACCUAAUGCCACGGGCUUCCUCCCGCUGCACCUGGUGCCACCGCCCGACAUUCCUUAGGCCCCCCCGGGGCCUCAGUGCAGUCUAUUCCAACUUUUACCCCCACUCCCACCCCAGUAACAGGGAGAGAAAGGAUACGGGGAGUUGAGAAACCAACGCCAAACCUCCACAUCGCCCGCAGCCACCUCUCUUGUUCGGAAAUGAAUUUUGGCAAAAGAUUAGUUCCUAAUCUGAUCUAACGCUGCUGACAUUUGGGAAGAAGAUGAAAAUGGCAGCUUAAUUUCAUUCUGAAACAGGGUCACUUCGCAGGGCUCUGCUCUCCAGAGAAUGUGGACGCCCCUCCCCUCCCCUGAAACAGAAGAGCUGGAGGGGCAGCCAUGCCAGGGACUGCCCAUCCCCAGGUCAGCCAGAGCCCCUGGGCCCUGGGCCUGUCUGCGGUUGAAUGGCAGGAGUGGAGGGAGGCUGUCUGGGCUGGGGCCACUGCCUGCGUCCUCUGCUGUCUGCUGUCAGGGCAUUGUGCUUCCACACAGAUAGGGGCUCCUGGGCCCCCAUAGAAGACUCUUUAGGCUAGAGAGCCUCUUUCUUGUAGGGAGGCCCUGGGGAAGGUAAGAAAGUUUCAGGAGUCACCAGUGGAGUAAUUAAAGGAAGAUGUCCCCAGGGCCUGUGGGGGUACUUUCCCCUGUGCUUCCUGGGUAAGUAAAAGCACAGCUAGGGCUCAGUGGCUGGCAUUGGCUGAGGUUCUGGCUUACUUGGAAGCCAUGGGUCUGGAGACAGCUGCUCUGGCACUUGGCUCCAUGAGCUGCAAGGUCCUCCUGGAGGCACAACUCUCCCUUUCCCCCCGCUUCCCUGCUUUCUCCCAGACACACACUCACCCACUGCAAACCCAAGAGGUGGGUGGGCCAUGUUCUUGGUCACCUAGCAGAGCCCACCAUGUCCAGCCUUUGUCCUCAACAGGGGCCACACUGGCAGUGGCCUCAUCCUGGGUCAGGUAAGAGAGGGCAGGUAAGUCAGUUGUUGGGGGACCUGCCUGGUAACUCGAUCUUGUUCCUGAGGGAUCAGGCACUUCUGAGACCUUCUCUGUGGGGUGCAGGGCCUAGAAUGGGGGUUGAGGGCAUCAUCAUCAGCUCAGGUCAAGGCCAAGCAGGAGAAUCUGUGCUUGGGUCCCUAGGAAGGGGUGUGCUAAUGAAGAGAGUUCUGUGCCAUGUACCUCGCAUGCUACUGGCUGCAUAUGUAUGAGUGGCUAUACCUGAAUAUGCUUGUACAGCAUGCAACUUUGAACAUGUGGAUCACAAACAUGUAUGUAAGUGUGCAUGUGACCAUGGGGGUUGGGGUUGCUGUAGCCCAUACUGUGUCUUUGUGCAGCUUAGACAAAGGCAUCCCUUCUUCUGGGUGGCAGGCAUCCCUUCCUCUCCUGUGGCUUGCCAAGUGGAAUGUGAGCUGGAUUUCAGCAGAGCACCCCGUCGCCCAUCCUUUUGUCCAGACUUCCUAAGCAGUACACAAUCUCGAGCCCAUAAACUCAAAUUCUGGUGGAGACGUCUGUGUGUUGGGUGUGGUAUUAUCCAAGGGUGACUUUAUUAUUGAGAAUCAGCUUUAUUCCUAGGAGUCCCUCCUUCAGUGGCACCCAGCUGGGGACUGCCUCUUGCCCCCUUUGCAGUACAGAGGACCUGAAGAGCAACAGCCACCACCAUCUUGGACCCUUAAAGCCCCUGAUCAGUAUGUAAGCCUGGUAAGCACAGACACAUUUGCACUUGUGAGUGGGGCUGAGUAACAGAGUACAUGUGUAUGGAUGGAUGUUCAGAAGUGUGAAUAUUUGUGUGAGUGAGUAUAGCUGGGCACAGGUGUGACCAUGAGGGUGGAGAGGGCAUGACUGGACAUGUUUGUGGGAGCCACAGUGAGGUGCAUGGUUAUGGGGUACAGCUGGCUUCUCUGUGGUGGCUCCCCCAGCCUCACACAGGCAUAGCCCACCUUUGGCCAUGGUGGUCUGCUUCCUAAAGGACUCACUGCCACUCCUCUCCUUAACCCACUCUAAAUGACUGCAAUUGGCUGGACGCGGUGGCUCACCCCUGUAAUCCCAGCACUUUGAGAGGCUGGGGUGGGCAGAUCACGAGGUCAGGAGAUCGAGACCAUCCUGGCUAAUACAGUGAAACCCCAUCUCUACUAAAAAUACAAAAAAACAGCCGGGCGUGGUGGCAGGCACCUGUACUCCCAGCUACUUGGGAGGCUGAGGCAGGAGAAUGGGGUGAACCCGGGAGGCGGAGCUGGCAGUGAGCCGAGAUCACGCCACUGCACUCCAGCCUGGGCGACAGAGCGAGACUCCAUCUCAAAAAAAAAAAAAAAAAAAAGACUGCAAUUAUGGCCUUCCAUGAAAGCCAGAAGUAGUGUCUGCUACUGUAGAUUACUUCAAGUGGAAGGCCACUGCUUUGUUAAGUAAACAGCACCAUGUUGACUCAAAUGUUGCUUUCUAUACUUGCCGUUUAGGGGCAGCACAAAGGGACUUAAGCAGCUCCAAGGACCCUUGGGUGGUGGUGUCAUUCAGGGUUUAUUGAAAGCAGAGCCCUUUAAAGGCCCCCCUUCUCUGCCCACACCCUAUGGCACCCCACAACCUGCUUCCGUCUCAAAUCUUGAGUUUUCGUAGCUGAAAAGGAGACUUUAUUUAUAAUAUACUGAAUAUGCUACAGACCACAUCCACUUGUCAGCCUCAGGAGGGUAGAGGAAGAGAGCAUGUGUGGGCCUGUGUGUACACAUGUGAGGUGUAUGUGUGUGUACCAAUGAUCUAAGCCCAUUAGCUAUUUGUGGAAACCCCAGGAAGGGUAAUCUCUAGAGGGGUCACUUGGUUCUUUGCCCCAGGGAAGGGAACAGGUGAGCCAGGAGCCUCUGGGAGUCUAGCAUCCAAGCCUCAUGCUCAUUUCGGAAGCUCUCUCCCCACCUCUGGCCCUGGGUUAGAUUGUAGGCCAGCCUGUGGGCAGGAGUAAAUAGCCGCUGUUUCUGCUUCAAAUGCCUACUCAGUGCCAGCACUUCAUGAACAUUACGGCUGUCUGCUCCCCACCCCUACCCCCAUGGGUCAGGCCCUAGUUACCUGCCCUCCCUGCUCACUGCCCUUUCUGGCCUCUUCUUCUAUUGCAGACCAGUGGGUGAUGGGAGGCACUUGGGGAGGGAGAGGACCUUGUGGUAGUUCCUUCCCGGCAUCAUGACUCACUCUCUCAUCCUGGUGAAAGGGACCAAGCCAAUGGGUGUAGAGGUGUCACUAUAAAGAGACAGGAUCCAGCAUAGCCCUGUCCUGAACCUUCCUGCUUCCUGUCUAAUCGUGAUUUUCACCCAUUUCUCCGUGUCUGCUUGCUUGAGGCCACAGAGGGGGCUGUGCCCAGGAAAGGGAAAGUUUUUCCCCUGAGCCCUGUACCUUCUCUCAACCAUCCAACCUUCCUUCCUUCCUCCCUCCCUCCCUUCUUUCCUUCUUUCCUUCCUUCCUUCCUUUCAUAAUAUUUGUUUAACUUAGAGAGAUUUAUUACACAAAUGAACUCAUUCAUAUGUGAAAUGACAUAUAUAUAACAUUAUUAUUAUUAUUAUC